rnacentral:rRNA from 1 species
CAUGAUCUAGCUUUUAAAAAAGGUACGGCGUAAGCUGUCGCUAUGGGAUGGCCCGCGGUGCAUUAGUCUAGUUGGUAAGGUAAAGGACUUACCAAGGCGAUGAUGCAUAGCCGAGUUGAGAGACUGAUCGGCCACAUUGGGACUGAGACACGGCCCAAACUCCUACGGGAGGCAGCAGUAGGGAAUCUUCCACAAUGGACGCAAGUCUGAUGGAGCAACGCCGCGUGAGUGAAGAAGGUUUUCGGAUCGUAAAGCUCUGUUGUUGGUGAAGAAGGAUAGAGGUAGUAACUGGCCUUUAUUUGACGGUAAUCAACCAGAAAGUCACGGGCUAACUACGUGCCAGCAGCCGCGGUAAAU